UAAGCUCUGCCUCCCCCCACCUUCUUUAAAAACUCACUGCCUGCCCUGCUGAGUGUGACUUCCCCAGCCUGUGACUAGCCAGACUGGGGAACAUCACCCGGGAAUUGCGCUCAAAUAAACUGCAUGGCCCUUUGUUGCCUCUCGUCUCCUGCUUAUUUCGGUUAGAACUUAUCUUACAUUUGGUGCUGAAACCCAGGAAGGAGCGUGAGCACAGGGCCCCGACCGGCCAUCGGAGGCCCUGCCCCCUCCUUCCCCGACCCAGAACCUCAGCCUGCUCUCCAAUGCAUGGACUAUUUUCUGAUCCACCAGAGGACGUUAGUCUCCCACCUCUCUCAGCUCGCUACCCCCACCCCUCUCUGCCAUCAUCUUUAAGUUCUUUGUCACUACCGUGUCACUACCAUCCCGUGUCACUACCAUCUUCAGGUCCUUUGUUCCCAGCCACGCCGCCUUCCUGCUCCUCUCCUCUUCUGGUGGCUGCACCACCCCCUCCCCCUCUCCUUCUGCCUUCACCGCCCUCUUCCCUCACCAGAACACGCUCCUCCCGCCCUCUGGUUACAGAAGCCAUGGACAAGAAGCUAAAAAGAAAGGAAGCAAUUAAAUAUCAGUAACUCAAAUCUUUCUAUCAGUUUGUCUUUCUGUGUAUAUGUUUUUAUAUAAAAAGUGUUGCUAACUUUAGUCGUUAUAUCUCAGUUUGUAUGUUUGUGUGUCUAAGUGUGUAAAUUAAAAAUAUUUUCCUAUCUCCAGAUGGUAUUAAUAAAAAUUGAUUUAAAAACAAGUGCUUGUGAAAAUUGGACAUUAUAAAAUUUCCAGAAAAUUCUAAUAGGAAAUAUUAAGCAUUAAUGCUAACUUAAGUUGAACUGAAACGGACAUGUCCUUAUAGUUAUCAGCUGCCAAAAUUUACUUAAAGUCAUUUAAGUUGUUAUCUGUUAAACAUUUCAAGAAAAUGCUUAAAGAAAAGCUUGACUUUGUCUAAUGUUUAGUAAAAGUUUUAUAAGUAAUCUAGCAUGGUUGCUAAAAAUAAGUAAACAAGUGUAGCAAAUAAACAUCGUAAUAAUAAUACUGUAUUAAUGUAUAACAGUGUAUAUAUAUGCAAACAGCCUGAGAAUUUUUGUGGUAACCAAAAUUCUUAAAGUUUGCUAAGUUAUAUGGACAUAUUUUGUGCCUAAUGAGAAAUUGUACUGUAAAACACAUUUCCAAAAAUGAUAAUAUAUGUUCAUAGAUGUAUCAAUCUGAAGAAUGCUAGUGUAACAGUUUACAGUGGCCUAUUUUUCAGUGUUCACUGAAGGUGAAAGAAAUGGUUUUAAUUUCUAAUUUAAAACUACUUAAAGUAAUAAGGAAAACAUUUCUGCAUGCUAAAGAAUGUGUCUUUUGAUAAAAGAAAGUAACUUUGUUCUAAAGUAUAGCUGUUUAUUUAGAGGGAGAACUCUAAAUGUAAAAAAGUUGUAGAAAGGUUGUAGAAGAAUUUAAUAUGGUCAUGCUAUAUAAAAUUAAAGCAAAUGAGUCUUGGUAUCAAGUACACUGCAAAAUUAGAAUUUUGUUUUCAGUUAAAAAGGACAAAGUUUUUUUAACAGUUAGUCUGCUCUUAAUAUUAAAAGACUGCAAUGAGUUCUCUAAUUGUUUUAUCAAAGCAGUUUCUCAUGCUUAAAGUCUCAGUGAGUUGUUGUAUUUAAGAAAAUGAGAUCUUAAUAUUAAAAGGACUAAAAGCUAAAGUUUGCUAACAACUGUGUAACCUUCUUUAUUCGCCUUUGAAGUAUUUUGUUGUCAUUCUAGUUAAAAUAGAUAAGUAUUGUUUCACAGUGACUUAUAAUUCUUUUAGGCUAUUUAAGCAAGUGCCUUAAAACUUUUAACAGCUUCUGAAAAUCAAAUUCAAAAAAGUACUUUUACCUCUAGUUAACUCUGAUAUUUUCCAGAAAGCCCCUAGAACAUGUCAGAAAACCUUUUUCUCAUUAGAGAAAGUAUUUGGCUAAUUUAGCUUAUUUAUCUGAUAUAUAAUUACCUGCUUAAUUACCUGGAAAGCACCGUCAAAGAGAAUGAUGCUAAACUUUGUUACGGAAUGUUUUGUGUUACAGAAAUAUCAGAAUUUCCUUAUGUCAACUGUCUUACAGUAAGCUCUCAUCAUAUCUUUAACCAUUGUCAUUUGUAAGUCUUUUGUCAUUUAUAGUCACUGUUUUAUUACUCCUAAAAUAGUAAAGAACUAGAUUUCAGCAGAACAGGUAUUAGUUACAUAAGAUUAAUAAGUAAACUAAGGAAGAUGAUUUUGUAGCUUUUUGUUUCAAAUGUUAUUGAUAAAGUGUUUUAAGCUUUUUCUCUUAAGCUGACAACAGUUUAGUAAAUGACUGCCUUUAUAAGCAGAAUUGAAACUUUAUCUUUCUCUCUACCUGAUCCCUCCAAAAUUUAAAAACUCUCAGUGACUAUUUUUAUAUUUCAUGGCAGUAUGUUUAUUUGCACAAGUUCAAUAAGAAUCUGCUUUCCUUGUAAGAAGACCAAUUAAAAACACAGGUUAUACUACUACCAAGGCUUUGAAUGGGACGUCAUACCUGAGAGAAACGUGCAUAAACUCAGAUAUGAACAGCUUUAAAGAACUAAGGUUGACUAUAUGAAGCCAACAAAGCCCCUUAGAAGAACUGGCCUGGUACCUUGCUUACAGGGUUCCCAGCAGCCUUACCAGGUGAGUAAGGAAGGUCAAUUCCUGGCAGGUGCAGGAACCUCAGGAUGUCUUGGAGACCUCGAGAAGAGAGGAAUUCACCCAAAUCUAUAGGUACUGCAGGCAAAACCUGAUGGCAAGUCUGGCUUGGCUGUCUGGCCUCAAGAGGCCUCUAAAAGUUCAAUCUGAAAUUCCUUACAAAAAGUUCCAGCAAAGCAUAUUUAAAAGAGCCUAUGUAAUCAAUUGCUCUUCUUGCUGCACUUAUGCAAAUAAUCAAGCCAACUGUUAAUCAUUUUCUUAAUCUGGCUACUUCUAAUAAAAAUAAGGGUGAUUUUAGAGAAAAGUAUUGUUUCAAUAAUGCAGUCUUAUCUAUACUAAAUCCUAAUACUAGUCAUUGAGAUGUAAACUCGAUCCAGAAUUCUGUUUUCCCCAUGAUACCUGGCUAUGAUUCUCAAUUAGACUCUUCAUAUUUCUAGUUCUCAUAUUCAGCCAUGCAUUCUUAAUCUCAUCAAGUUUGUCCUUCCAGAAUAGAAGCGCCAACCUUCCGAGGCCCUCUCAACUGACCACUGAUGGAGACCUAACUGCACCCUUUAUGUGCCCCCUCUCAGCAUGAAGCAGUCAGAGCGGUCAUUGCCCCUUUUCCCUAGCAGCAGCUAGAGUCUCUAUCUGUAGAGGAGAAAAUGAGACAGAGACCAUAAGCUUGGACAGAAUAAAGUAAGAGCCUCUGGAGGAAGCAAGGCAAGAUAUUUGCAGUCAGAGCAAUGUAACUACAUGCUAAGAAACCUCCCCCCCACGACGCCCCUUGUCAGCCAGAAGUAGCCAGAUCAAGUCAUUGCCCAUUAUGACCAAAAGUCUGGAAUGUAAGUUUGGAGGCACUGGGGGGAGGGGUGAGCACAUCAGAUACUGAUGACAUGCCAAAGUCCCCGGCUGCUGCCCCCUCCCAACCUGAAAAAUGUGCCUCAGGCUAGCCAGUCCUCACGCCACUGUAAAUCUAAGCUCUGCCUCCCCUACCUUCUUUAAAAACUCACUGCCUGCUCUGCUGAGUGUGACUUCCCCAGCCUGUGAUAACCGGAUUGGAGAAUAUCACCCGGGAAUUGUGCUCAAAUAAACUGCCUGGCCCUUUGUUGC